rnacentral:rRNA from 1 species
CAGAUGGCGACGUGCUAUACAUGCAAGUCGAACGAACUCUGGUAUUGAUUGGUGCUUGCAUCAUGAUUUACAUUUGAGUGAGUGGCGAACUGGUGAGUAACACGUGGGAAACCUGCCCAGAAGCGGGGGAUAACACCUGGAAACAGAUGCUAAUACCGCAUAACAACUUGGACCGCAUGGUCCGAGCUUGAAAGAUGGCUUCGGCUAUCACUUUUGGAUGGUCCCGCGGCGUAUUAGCUAGAUGGUGGGGUAACGGCUCACCAUGGCAAUGAUACGUAGCCGACCUGAGAGGGUAAUCGGCCACAUUGGGACUGAGACACGGCCCAAACUCCUACGGGAGGCAGCAGUAGGGAAUCUUCCACAAUGGACGAAAGUCUGAUGGAGCAACGCCGCGUGAGUGAAGAAGGGUUUCGGCUCGUAAAACUCUGUUGUUAAAGAAGAACAUAUCUGAGAGUAACUGUUCAGGUAUUGACGGUAUUUAACCAGAAAGCCACGGCUAACUACGUGCCAGCAGCCGCGGUAAUACGUAGGUGGCAAGCGUUGUCCGGAUUUAUUGGGCGUAAAGCGAGCGCAGGCGGUUUUUUAAGUCUGAUGUGAAAGCCUUCGGCUCAACCGAAGAAGUGCAUCGGAAACUGGGAAACUUGAGUGCAGAAGAGGACAGUGGAACUCCAUGUGUAGCGGUGAAAUGCGUAGAUAUAUGGAAGAACACCAGUGGCGAAGGCGGCUGUCUGGUCUGUAACUGACGCUGAGGCUCGAAAGUAUGGGUAGCAAACAGGAUUAGAUACCCUGGUAGUCCAUACCGUAAACGAUGAAUGCUAAGUGUUGGAGGGUUUCCGCCCUUCAGUGCUGCAGCUAACGCAUUAAGCAUUCCGCCUGGGGAGUACGGCCGCAAGGCUGAAACUCAAAGGAAUUGACGGGGGCCCGCACAAGCGGUGGAGCAUGUGGUUUAAUUCGAAGCUACGCGAAGAACCUUACCAGGUCUUGACAUACUAUGCAAAUCUAAGAGAUUAGACGUUCCCUUCGGGGACAUGGAUACAGGUGGUGCAUGGUUGUCGUCAGCUCGUGUCGUGAGAUGUUGGGUUAAGUCCCGCAACGAGCGCAACCCUUAUUAUCAGUUGCCAGCAUUAAGUUGGGCACUCUGGUGAGACUGCCGGUGACAAACCGGAGGAAGGUGGGGAUGACGUCAAAUCAUCAUGCCCCUUAUGACCUGGGCUACACACGUGCUACAAUGGAUGGUACAACGAGUUGCGAACUCGCGAGAGUAAGCUAAUCUCUUAAAGCCAUUCUCAGUUCGGAUUGUAGGCUGCAACUCGCCUACAUGAAGUCGGAAUCGCUAGUAAUCGCGGAUCAGCAUGCCGCGGUGAAUACGUUCCCGGGCCUUGUACACACCGCCCGUCACACCAUGAGAGUUUGUAACACCCAAAGUCGGUGGGGUAACCUUUUAGGAACCAGCCGCCUAAGGUGACAGAGAUAGG